rnacentral:rRNA from 1 species
GGUGACGAGUGGCGGACGGGUUAGUAAUGUCUGGGAAACUGCCCGAUGGAGGGGGAUAACUACUGGAAACGGUAGCUAAUACCGCAUAAUGUCGCAAGACCAAAGAGGGGGACCUUCGGGCCUCUUGCCAUCGGAUGUGCCCAGAUGGGAUUAGCUUGUUGGUGAGGUAAUGGCUCACCAAGGCGACGAUCCCUAGCUGGUCUGAGAGGAUGACCAGCCACACUGGAACUGAGACACGGUCCAGACUCCUACGGGAGGCAGCAGUGGGGAAUAUUGCACAAUGGGCGCAAGCCUGAUGCAGCCAUGCCGCGUGUGUGAAGAAGGCCUUCGGGUUGUAAAGCACUUUCAGCGGGGAGGAAGGCAAUACGGUUAAUAACCGUGUUGAUUGACGUUACCCGCAGAAGAAGCACCGGCUAACUCCGUGCCAGCAGCCGCGGUAAUACGGAGGGUGCAAGCGUUAAUCGGAAUUACUGGGCGUAAAGCGCACGCAGGCGGUCUGUCAAGUCGGAUGUGAAAUCCCCGCGCUCAACCUGGGAACUGCAUUCGAAACUGGCAGGCUUGAGUCUUGUAGAGGGGGGUAGAAUUCCAGGUGUAGCGGUGAAAUGCGUAGAGAUCUGGAGGAAUACCGGUGGCGAAGGCGGCCCCCUGGAAAAAGACUGACG